rnacentral:rRNA from 1 species
UACGUAGGGUGCAAGCGUUGUCCGGAUUUAUUGGGCGUAAAGAGCUCGUAGGCGGUUUGCCGCGUCUGCUGUGAAAACUCGGGGCUUAACCCCGGGCCUGCAGUGGGUGCGGGCAGACUAGAGUGCGGUAGGGGAGACUGGAAUUCCUGGUGUAGCGGUGAAAUGCGCAGAUAUCAGGAGGAACACCGGUGGCGAAGGCGGCAUCCUGGACCAAUACUGACACUGAAAAGCGAAAGCCAGGGGAGCAAACGGG